UUUUUAGUCAAUAGUUUUAAUGUGGUUUGUCCAGCGGUAACAAAAUGCAUACAUAUUUCUUUUUUGUUGAUCAUUACAGUACAAUUCUUUUACUUCUAACAAAUACAUCUGGACUAAGAAUGUUUAGAGUAUCUGAAGUAGGCUCCUAUCUAAGGAUAAAAUCAUAGUACUGGGCCUUGGUCUGAAUUUUUUUUUAGGACUAGGGUAUGAUUUUUUUUCAUAGAUUUCAUAACAAAAUUAAUUUGUUCAACGUUUAAAAACAUAAGGAUUUAGCACAUAUCUUUAGGGGACUAGUUAUAGGAAGGGCCGCUGGGAAACUGAACAUAUUACCUGAAAACCUAAUGCAGCUCUGUCACAUUUAGCAAAAUACUAAGAUUUUAAAGUACUAUACUGAAAUCAGAUAAAGGCAAUGCCAUCGUAGUUAUUAAUAAUGCAUCAGAUUAUUAGCGUAGAAUAAACCAAGCACUUGCAGAAGAAAAUUCUUAGAAAAUUAUGGAUAGGGAUACUGACAUUUCAAAGUGGCAUUCAAAUUUUAAUGUUUCCCUAUAAAAAGAAAAUUUUCCAUACUAACAAAUAGAUACAGGCAAUCCCCGGUUAAUUCCGGGGGUUUCAUUCCCGGCCAAGGGCCACUAACCAGAAAUCGACUAUACAGUAAUAGCACUGAUAAACCACUUAAUGGUGCCGCUAACAGGAUAUCGGCACCGCUAACCACAUAUCAGCGCUGCUAACUGGAGAUCGGUAUUGAUAAACCACUUACUGAUGUCAGUAAACCACUUACCAAUGUGUAUAAACCGCUUACUGGCACUGAAAAUCCAGUUCAUGAUAAACCAAUUACUGGCGCUGAAAAUCAUUAACUACCGCCGAAAAUCCAGUUAAGGAUAAGCCUUGUAACGCUGAAAUGCCAUUAACCGAUGCCUCUGGUGUGCAGGGACUGCUAUAUGAAAAUGCCUAAGCUCCAUACAUGUACAACCUCUCCAAAAUACAUGAAGUAGGUAUCUCAGUGAGACCGUUAGUCACUUCAUUAAGUUCUCCUGUCCCAAAUUUAUCAGCUUAGGAAACGUUUUGGGCGUUAAUGCAGGUUUGGUUUCACAUGCUUAUUUAAAACACUCCUCCAAAUGUUACUGAUGCCAAAGGAAGAAGUACUACUUGGUUAUGUCAGGUAAGACUGCAUAUCCCUCCCUCACUAAUUAACUGCCAUGUAACCAAACUUCAAUGACUAUUCUCAGGUUCUCAUCUCACACUGGGAAUGCUUACAUAUAAAAUAUUUUGCUUUGUAUGUUUAGAGAAAAUGAAAAUUUCAAAUAAUGAUCAGAAAUAAGAAAAUGAGGUUAUUUCUUAAUACAAAUUUUUUUCAGGUCAUACUUGCCACGAUGUUGUAGAACUCUUCUUGUAACCAAACCACUCAUCAUGUGUUCACGAUGCAAAUCAUUCACGCAUAAUUUAGCGGCUGUGCUUCAGUUGGAGGGAAUUCCUACAUGUCUCUACUGUGAUGGUCGUAUGACGCAAUUGACAAUGAGAAGAAAUUAGGUAAGUAAGGGGAGCAUGAUUGUUGAGAGUUGCGUCCAGUUCUGCAUUCAGAAGAGAAGAGAUCAGCGGAAAAAGAGGUCGACUAGUAAAUGCCCUCUAUCAUGGAUGGAUUUACCAGGGAUAAAGCAUUUCCACAGUUUGUGCAGUGCCUCUUCAAACCAGCAAAUUGUGGCCUUAUAGAUCUUAUGUCAGUUUUAUGCAAUGAGACUGAAUAAAAAAAAAAACUGUAUAGUAAAAAAAUUUCAUAGCUGACAUUUGAAAUUCGUCAAGUAUAAAAUUACACGAUGCUAUGACAUUUUAGCAGAUAAUAAAAAUAAGGUUUUUCAUGGGCACAAAGCAUAAGCAUGUUGAGUGUAAACUGGAUUUGCUGAAAUUCAUGCAGUGUAAAGUACUGUUAUAUCAUAAUAAUAAAGUCCAUUAGUUAUAUGUACAGAUAAGUUUAUAAUGAUUGAGGUUACAUUAUCAGAUGAUGAAGUGACUGCCAGAUCCGCUAGAGUUCUAGAAGGUAGCACUUUGGUCAGUUAAACUGUAAAGUACAAGUACACUAGUAAGCAGUAAUGAAGGAAUCAUGUUUUGUGGCAUGAAAUGAAUCCUGGUUAUAUGCAUUUAUGUGAUUGUACGGGCAGUCCCUUGGCUUAAUUCAGUGGUUACGUUCUAUACUGCGAUGUAAGCCAUAAAACAGUGUAACCCAAGAUAUCAUCGAAAAUUGUAAGAAAACCUUACUUUUAAUCCUUUGGGUGUCUUGAAAAUUAUGUAACCUGAAUUUUGAUUGAGCUUUCCUUCAAAAUCCUCCAAAUUUUUACCAUUCUGCCAUUUUGGAGCCAUAUUUAUUAACGUUCCAGUCUUCCAUCAGACUGGGAAACAAUUUUUGAUGGAUAUAUUUGAAGAGCAAUGUAACCCCAGAAUGACAUAAGCCGAGUCCGAUGUAGCCUGGGGACUGCCUGUAACAGUUGUUGUUAUGAAAGUCUUUCAUGUAUGUAUUUGUAUUGCAAGUUUCUUAGAAGUUGUACAGGUUUUUGUGAAGACAAAGAAUGUUGUGAAAUUUUUUAUGCUUUUUGGAUUAAGUAUUUACCAAGCUGCCUAUAAGGCACAGCUUGCUGUGAGUAAUCAAGUCAUAUCAAUGGCAACUGUGUUGUUGACAAAGGCCAUACAGCAUUUUCCAUGUAGAAGUCCCACUGACAUUGCUCAGCUUUUGUGUUUCCACAGUUUUCCAUAUUACUGCUGAUAUGUGAGGCUGUAUAUCACCAAUACUUACACUGAAACACAGUUAAAAGUAUAAGUUAUUUCUUCAUUUUUCAUUUGGAUACUUUGGGAUUCAAGGUUUGUCAAGUCUUUAUGCUUCACCAUUCAACUAUGAAAAAAGCUUUAGUUUUAAAGGCUGUAUUAAAACACUUGAAUGUACCAUAGUGUAUUUAAGUAAGAAUACACCCCACUACUAUACUGAAUACUGCAUCUAACAUUGGUACUGCUUUCCAUGGAUGGUGAGAUCAAUCUUGAAUUAUGUAAUCUCCAUGUUCAAAAUUUUUGCAUAGAAAAUUUUGGCAUUGUGAAAUUUGAGUAUCAGCUGCACAAUGUAUAUAAUUAAUUUAAUUCAGUAGAUCAAGCCGUGUCUAGUUGGUCAUGUGACUUGUAAACACUAUAUGCAACAUUGUAGAUUAAUGUUCAAAAUGCUAUGGCUCUCAGAUAUGGUUUUUAGAUAUUCCUUUGCUUUUAUAAUAACGCAAUAAUGUAUAAAUGUUUAAUGCAAAACACAUUUCCUAGUCUCCCUGAGUCAGGUGUAUUGAUGUACAAGUAUUAUGUUUACCUUGAAUCUCCAUGACUAGAUGCUGUUUUGUUGCACAAGAAUCACAUUUCCAUUAUUUUAAAUGCCAAAUCCUAUAUGUACUAUAUUGAGCAUUCUUUCUUUGCUCUGUUGUUGAUAUUUUAAGUGUAGUUCAGCAAGUGAUAACACUGGAGGAUGCAUUAAGAGGAAAAUAGUCAAAGGUCUGGGCUUCAUGGCUGGUUUUAUAUGACAAUUCUUGAAGUGAACGGGCACAUUACUGUUGUUUAUAAAAUGGAAAAGAUAUUGAGAAUUCUAAGUCAGUGCUUUUCUCCUUCUCAGAAAUUUUGUUGGUGUGAACUCUUACACGAAGCUCUGAUCUAGUCACUGGAAAGUAUUAUUUGUAAAGCCACAGAACAUUUGGAUUGUCAACUAUUAGAUUUAAGAAUUUCGAUAAUAUAAACUGCUGUAUGUUUUUGAAUCAAGAAAGUAUCAGCUUUUACCCAGCUUGACUGGGAGACAGAUGCCGAUUGUCAUAUCUUAUGCAGGAAAUACAAUGCAAGGCUGUGCUGCCUCCAGAUGAAGCUCAUAUUACUAGAAAUGAAUAAGGUGCUGGGAGUUUGUAGCUGAAGCUGGUAUAAACUUGUUUUAAGAAAAAAAAUACCUGUUUGGUGAUCUGUUUUUGGGGAUUAUUAGCACGCCAAUAGAAUUUUUUUAUUAUGAAAUUUGUAUAUAUUGUAAUUUUUAAAUAUUUACCUGUGAUACACAUGGUUGCUAGGGCAUGAAGGGCUUUUUUUGUUAAGCAUUUAUUUUUUAUAAUAGACAAAUUUGUUGCAGAAUUACUCUAAUAAGCAUAAAAAGGGUUUCAGUAAUACCCCAGGGGUAGAUUUGCUCUGGAAAUGUGCAGAGUCACCGAUAGCAAUCAUAGAUUAACCAAUGGAAAUCAGUUUUAACUAAAAUUAGUUGAAUUGCACUUGGAGGAUUUGUUCCAGUUUUUUUAUUGCAGAUAAAAAAGGGAUUUUGACGUAGGAAAAAUCUAUUUCUGGGCGAGGGGGCCGUGUCGCUCCGUGAAAUAGGUUCCUUUAGCACUAUUUCUAAGGUAAAAUAUUGUUAUAAUACCAGAGAACUGCUACAAUGACAUACACAGAAUGCAGAUGAAAUAAGACACUUAUGAACUACACAUUGUGUAUAAAAUAUAUAUAUUGGCCCAGUACUACAAUUACGCUACUGGGCUCAGGUAAAAAUGUUAAUGAGGCUGGAAGGAGGGCAGAAGGAGAUAAGAUAACUACUGACUACUACUGCUGACCGGAGCAGGGGAAACUGUGUUUCCCACAGCUACGGCCGGGUACCCUGUCACUAAUAGUGCAAAGUAUAUUUAUAGAAUAUUAAAAUGAAUUUUCUUUCAAAGCCAAUAGGGUGAGAUGAGGUAAUACCAUACCAUAAGUGGAAAAAUAUUUGGCAGAAAUCAGGUUUCAGCCAGAUUGAGUAAAGUGUAUGUCCAAAAUAAACUUCAAGAAAUGGGCCAUCUAUGGUAUCCAUGUGAAUUAUUAAAAAUAAUGGCAAAUACAGUUUUCAGAUUUAAAAAAUUUUUUUUACUUCGCACAGGUUUUCCAUGGUUGGGUAAUACUGUACAGGGUAUAGGGGAAUACCCAGCUAAGAUUUUUUUACUUACCUGUAUUUGUGUGUUAAUGGUGUGAAGGGGUUUUAAAUGGCUAAGAUUACUUUAAAUAGAUGUAUUUAGUUUACUAAUGGGGGAAAUUAAAGAAAUCUAAUACAAAUUUACACUUAUUGUACAAAAAUUGAUAAUAAAAUAUAUACUACAUUCUUUGUACAGAUUAUUUACAUCCUACCCUACCAAAUGUUGAAGGAGUUCAGUGGAGGGGAGACCUUUAUUAGGGGUGCCUGCCUCUGGGUGCAGCCCUUCACAGUGGUCAGGACACCCCUACACUGCAAAACCUCCACAUUUUCAACAUCUUCAACUG